AGGAUUCCCCUAGUAACGGCGAGUGAAGCGGGAAGAGCUCAAAUUUGUAAUCUGGUACCCUCGGGUGCCCGAGUUGUAAUCUCGAGAAGUGUUUUCCGUGCUAGACCGCAUAGAAGUCUGUUGGAAUACAGCGUCAUAGUGGUGAGAACCCAGUCAGUGAUGCGGAUGCCUAGUACUUUGUGAUACACUUUCGAAGAGUCGAGUUGUUUGGGAAUGCAGCUCAAAUGGGGUGGUAAAUUCCAUCUAAAGCUAAAUAUUGGCGAGAGACCGAUAGCGAACAAGUACCGUGAGGGAAAGAUGAAAAGCACUUUGGAAAGAGAGUUAACAGUACGUGAAAUUGUUGGAAGGGAAACGCUUGAAGUCAGACUUGCUAGUCGGAAUUCAGCCGCAAGGUGUAUUUUUCGAUGUGCAGGCCAGCAUCAGUUUUGGGGGACGAAAAAGGGUAGGGGGAAGGUAGCAGUUUCGGCUGUGUUAUAGCCCCGUACUGGAUUCGUCUUCCGGGACUGAGGAACGCAGUACGCUUUUAGCGGGACCUUCGGGUCCUUCGUACUUAGGAUGCUGGUGGAAUGGCUUUAAACGACCCGUCUUG
rnacentral:rRNA from 1 species